rnacentral:rRNA from 1 species
CAGUAGCCGCGGUAAUACGAAGGGUGCAAGCGUUAAUCGGAAUUACUGGGCGUAAAGCGCACGCAGGCGGUUUGUUAAGUCAGAUGUGAAAUCCCCGAGCUUAACUUGGGAACUGCAUUUGAAACUGGCAAGCUAGAGUCUUGUAGAGGGGGGUAGAAUUCCAGGUGUAGCGGUGAAAUGCGUAGAGAUCUGGAGGAAUACCGGUGGCGAAGGCGGCCCCCUGGACAAAGACUGACGCUCAGGUGCGAAAGCGUGGGGAGCAAACAGGAUUAGAUACCCGCGUAGUCCCUGUCUCUUAUAC